rnacentral:rRNA from 1 species
AUGAGGCGAAGACCGACGUGGAAGUUGAGGAGGCGGCGGUCUGAGUUGGCCGGAGCGCACGGAAGACGGCUCUGCUUGCCGGAGGCGGACGGGAUUGGCUCAAGAGAUCCACUCGGGCGCGAGAGGAGGCUGGACGAGAGGGUCAGGUCUGGCUUAGCAGGCUCGAGAGAAGGCUGGAGGAGAGGGCCAUGCGUGCCUUGGCGUCCCAAGAGCCACGAGGCCGUCACCACCGGCGUGGCGCGUCCAAGUCAGUGGCGGCAAACGGUCGUUGCAGGUGUAAGGACCAAAGCAAAGCGACGACACAAGGCCGGGCGUCGGAGCAAAGCAGAGCCGGGAGCGCACGGCGUGCACUCGACGGACAUACCACCACCGGCUAGCGGCUAG